ensembl:lncRNA
AGUAAUGAUUCUCCUCGUGUUGAACAUUUUCUGGCAGUCUGACUCAGUCCAUAUAAAAGCCACACAAAUACACAUAUUCUCCAAUAAUUUUAUUCAUAAUUUUAAUAUAAACAGUUAAUUGUUGAAUAAUUUACACACAGCAAGAUUUUAAUUUUCAUAUCAUUGCAACAUUUUCUGUACAUGUCACUACUUGGCUCUCCUUUGAAAACAUAGAAAAAAUAAAUUGUCAAGCGCUCAUUUAGUCAUGGCACAUUUUUGAUCCUGUACAAUAUGCAUGUAUUUCUGUCUGUGUGUGUCUGUGUUCAAUAUGUUGAUAUCUGUGAUACAUAAAGAUAAUGGCACAUUUGGAUCCAGUGUGAGGGAUGAAGCAAUCUGGGUUGGUUUGGUUUCUUUCGGACUGUACAUGAAAGACAUAUUCCUGCUGUCUGCACACGCGUCGGCGUCUCAACACAACGUAUACACAACAUAUCCCAAAAUUAACACAUCAGCAUAUUCAUCGGCGACAAACGACAUUGAAGAAGAGGUAUCGGUGUAUAAACUGGAGCAGACCACUGGACCCACAGAUGACUCUUAAAACUGAGGACGCUGGCCUUUCCUCAGAUUUGUCGCCCCACCUGCACCCCCUCCGCCCCUUUAAACAAUGGCGGAUCUCUCCCUGAUCAAUAACACGGGGGGGGGGGGGGGGGGGGGUCGGGGAGACAGCUUGCGUGACUCUCAUUGACUCGUUGUAGGACAAGUUUCAAAUGGUCAUUUGCAAGGUGCUAAUUCCUGGACACUCGAAUAGAUCCUGAACGUCUCACCGUCAUCCCCCCUAAAAUGCUGAUUUACAAUUUUCCUUUGGUACAGCGUUUGUACCAAUAAAGUAAAACAAGACAUAAUGUGUUCUUUGUUGAUCGUGAUCUUGUUAGCCACGCUGAACUGGAUGCUAUCCACCUUCUCAUCAAACAUGCCAGGAAGGCAAUUUUCAUUUUUCCCAACAUCCUCCAGCUCUACAGUCCGAACUCUAAGUUGUAUGGUGGUUUUUAGCUUAUUCGGGAUUUUAUCACUCAGUUUUCCUCUUAUUCAAAAAGGAUGUGCAGUGGUCUUUUCCAGUUUUUUUUUUUUUAACAUACAAAAAGAAACACCCAACAAAUAAAACAACACAUUUGCAAACUAAACAUCCGUUUUGUCAGAAACUAUUUCAUACAACAUCCGUGGUAGGUGACAUGUUUUUUGUGACUCAAAGGCUUCACGGCUGACAUGCUAUUGUGGGCGGGUGGUUUGAAAUGCACGCAUGCAUUGAGACACGUUUCAGGCCGCGUAAUGUUUGUGUCUCGUUACACGGGGGUGAAGCUCCUCUUAAAUACACAGACAGACUUGACUUUGCUUUCCGUGUAGUGGGUUGUGUCACGAAAAGAAGAACAAAUAAAUCAAAUCUCUUUACAUUUAGAAGAAAAAAAAAAGUUAUAUACACCUUGAUAGCAUCGUUAAAUUCAUAUCGUACAAGUGUCGUAAAAGUUUACAGUCAGAAAAGGUAAUUGUGUUCGCCGUCCUUUGGCCAAAAAAAUAAUUGGGAAACAUCUCCAAAAUGUAAUACUUCUUUCUUUCCUUUAAAACAAACCAAUAAUACAUACGAUGCUUUGUUCUCGCCCUGCGCGGCGUUAUUUGCAUGCUCUGUUCAACAAAACAAACCUAAACUUCCUUAAAAUGAAGUACUUUUGUUUUCAGGGUGGGUCGGGGGAAUUUGCCGCUAUUUACAGUUGAGGGAUUAUUACUUUGUUUCUUUCAUUUAUUUAUUGUGAAAUAACAAUAUGUACCAAAAUGGAAAUCCCCAAAUUGUAUUGCAUUCACUUGACGCUAGUCGUGGGUUUUAGGGUGUUUUUUUGGGCCUCGCUGUCAAAACAUACUAAUCGCAUAAAGAAAAAAAUUAGUAAGAAUCAAAUUGCUGAUGUAGGCGAUUCUUUUUCUAUGCACAAGGCAAGCAAGAUCCGAGCAGCUCAACUAUCACUAAAUCCAAAUUACAGCCUUUUCCAACCAAGCAGUGAGAAUAUUUUCUCUGCAGUUACCAACUAAAGAACACAGAAUCCCCCCCAAAAGACCCACAAUUCCUGUGUUUUUCAGAUCACGUUUGAGAAAUGGAAACUAUUCUUUAGGGGGGAUGGUGGGGGGGGGGGCAAGGAUCUGCGGGCCCUGUUUGCCCCGACCUGCAAUGCUCCCAUCCAACCACCAGAGGGCGGUCCACACACGUCACAUCCCCAUCUUCAGAAGGCCAGAAGGUUUUCAGAUUCAUGAAAAGGGCGUUUGGGUUUUUGUUGUUGAAAACUCGUCCUUGGAGUUUUCCUCUCCUUGUUGAUUGAUGCAAGGAUGCUGUGAGUAGAUUAAAAAAAAGAUAGGUAGCUGUUCUUCCUCCUUGUCUCCUCUUUAUCCCCCAACCAAAGUAUCAGGCAGCCUCCCUGAGAGGAAAAGUUACAAUCUAGAGUUCAUGUCUGCUAACAGUUCUUAUGGCACACAGUCCCAGUCUAGCUAUAUUUCAUUUGCAGGGGGGGGGGG